UAUGGUUUAUUAGAUCGUGCGUUCUACGUGGAUAACUGUGGUAAUUCUAGAGCUAAUACAUGCAACUGGCCCUAACUUUACGGAGGGGCGCUUUUAUUAGAUCAAAAUCAAUCAGGUUUCGGCCUGUUUUUGUGAUGACUCUGGAUAACUUUGUGCCGACCGCAUGGCCUUGCGCCGACGGCGUAUCUUUCAAAUGUCUGCCCUAUCAACUUUCGAUGGUAGGUGACAUGCCUACCAUGGUUGUAACGGGUAACGGAGAAUCAGGGUUCGAUUCCGGAGAGGGAGCCUGAGAAACGGCUACCACA
rnacentral:rRNA from 1 species